UUGCAAGCACAGACUCUUGGCUGCCUUCAUGGUACACUGUGGUUCUGAGAUAUUUAGAAUUACAGGGCCUUUUAUGGCUGGGUCCUGAUGGAGGAAGCCACAUCUAAGCUAAGGAUGUCUUCACUGUAAACUCUGCCUCAGCGAGCUUUUCCCUUGCUGAUCUCAUCAGAACCAUCCCCAUUUGAGCUUCAGACUCCCCUCUGCCAACACUUAAUCGUCUCCUCUUUCAGCAAAAGUAAACAGAGGACAGAAUGUUCUUCCCUGGAGCUUAUUAAAACUUUAAAUCCAGGUGUUAUUCUCCAAAGGAAGCUGCUUUCUUCUGGCCACCAGGUCACCAGCUCCUGUAGUGAGCUCUGAGCGGAUUCUAGUCAGCCUCUUCAGGGGGCUAGGACUAAUCGCUGUGACCUCAAUCAAGCCUGCUGGUUUUAUGAUACCAAGAAGGCUCACCAGGUGAACUUCUGCUCCUUUUAGGAGGCUAAGCAUCCCCCAGCCACCUUGGGCUUGAGCAGUGUUACCUGCCAGCAAGCACAACAGUGCCGACCACUGGUCUCUUCUUUUGGAAAACAUUUGACUUUUGACUUGCUUUCUUCUCUAUUUCAUCAUUAUCCUCCUUUCAGACUUUCAUGAACUCCUAAAAAAUUUGGUUGUAGAACUAAACAAGAGAAUGAGAACUGGGAAGAACCUUGGAUCAAUGCUGAGAGGCUGCCUGGAUACUCUUCUGUGCUCCACAGUACUGACAAAUAUUCUUUGUGGCUCUGGUACUGUACUGUCACUCAAAUUUUGGUACAAACCAUUGAAGUAUUUGUUGCUUGUUUUUAUUGGUCUACAUAGUAAUCUUAGUGUUGUAUUUCUGGAAUAGUCUCUCAAUUAGCACAUUCUCCCUUGUCCUGAGAUCACCAUGCUCUUCAAGAUUAAGGCUCUUGCUUCCUUGCCUGCCAACUCUGAUCCAAAGAAAACACCCUUUUCUACUCUGCAGUAUGAAGGGCUCAGGGCUGUGUUUUUAGCUGUUCAGAAUGUUAGAGUUAUUCAUGUUGGUUAGUGGAGUUAGCCUUCAGUGUGGAAAGAGAAGACUGCAAGAAAAACUGGCACUAACUUAAGUGGCCUCUGACACCUUCCCUAACCCUGUCCCAGUUUGUCACAUUCUACAAUAAAUGAGUGAGUGAUCAUGAUCAGCAAAACUGGUUUCUUUCUUCUUUCUUUCUCUUUCUUUCUUUCUUCUUUCUUUCUUUCUUUCUUUCUUUCUUUCUUUCUUUCUUUCUUUCCCUUCCUUCCUUCCUUUCUUUCUUUUUUCUUCUUUCUUUCUUUCUUUCUUUCUUUCUUUCUUUCUUUCUUUCUUUCUUUCUUUCUUUCUGUGUGUUUGUUAUAGCAGAAUUUGAUACAUGAGAAAAUCAUUGGCAGCUGGCAGGUCCCAGCUUCUCCCAAACUCCAUGUAACCUGUUCCCAGUCACCCAUCUUAACCAGUGUUCCUCAUGUUUUAAACUAGCUAGCAAACACGUUUGCACAGCCUUAUUGUGGGAACAUUCAACUUGGCAAUAAGUAUUUUGCACUUGAUAGACUCUCAAAGAUUCCUUCUGACCAAGAGAGACUCCAGCAAGCACCAGGGUGCUUAAUACAAUUGCAGAUACUGUUGCCCAAACUGCACAUCUCUGUGCUUGCCUCCCAACACAAGUCAAAUAUGGGAGCCAACCCCCACCAACUACAUAUAUACACUCAAGAGCACCUCUGUCCUUUUUGGUAUUAGUAUUUCUUUCUUUUUUUUUUUUUUAUUUCCAUGCAUCUCUUCAAAAUCUGGGCCUCUGGAUCUAUAGCCCUGGAUCGUCAUAAAUAUCUCAAAAUAAGAAAGCAUGACUUCAGCUUUCUUUUUAAAAUUAUUUUAAUAAAUACCCCAACAUGUUCACCUAUACCAAUGUAUAGACCUUAUUUUUAUUUAUUUAUUAUUUAUUUAUGUAUUUGUUAGAGUGCUCUCACACCUGUAGUUUGAAUAUAUGUAGUUCAGGGACUGUUGUUUCUAGGCAUUCUACCUAGGAGUUUGUGCCUGUGGAACACGUAGAUGUCCCACCCCUGAGCUACACCCCAACCCAAACAGAAGUACUGAUGGGACUGUUUCCAGAGUUCUAGCCUGUGGUAUUAAUACUUUAAAAAAAAAAACUAGUAAUGAUUUUUUAAACCUUUCCUUUUCUGGUUGCCCUUGCAAUUAAAUUAAAUAAAAAGAGGCAUAUGUUCAAAGUUUUACUGUGGGAACAGUUAGACAUACAACUAAGUCCCAACCUUUCCUGUCAAGAAACAGUCAAGUGGGGAGACAGAUGCUUAAGUCUACAAACUGCUGUCUUCGAGAAAUGUGAGCGCAGAGACCACACACUCAUGGUCUACCUCACUCCCACACAGCAGCAAAGGAUUCCCUUCAGCUUUACUGAUUCACACUGUGGACACAGAACAUUCCAGAAGGCCCGCUCCUGCUUCUCACCUGUGUUUAUUGUCCAGAAAGGACAAGUCUUUGGAGACAGAGGAGGCAGUAUCAUCCAGGAUGAGUUAUUAGGCCUGGCUUUGCCAUUCCUUAAUUUAGCCCUUCUGGGAGGCUGCCCUCAAGGAACAAAGCCAGAGAGAAUGUAGAAAUAGGACUUCUCAAGGUUGGAAAGCCAGGGCCUAUUGCUCCAACCUAUGUCCUUUGUACAGAAAAUAAGAUCCCCGAGAGGCCAACAGAAAUGCAAUUUAAACUGCACCUAAGAUAAUAAAAUUGGAUGAAAAGUAAAAAGAAAAAAAAAAAAACAGAUUUCCUGGAACUAGGUUUCCUGUAAACACCUUGUGGGUACCUCAUAAGCAGCCGAGAUUAUUAGUGUUUGGUCCUAGUGACCAUUUCAGCUGCCUUAUCCACAUUAGCUGCUAAGAAGUGAUAACGCCCCAAGUUCCCAUAUAAAGUCUCUCCUGCUACUGUAUUACAUGGCAAGGAGAACGGGGGUUUUUGUUUGCUUGUUUUUUUACUUCCUUGAGGUUAAAACUAGAGUCCCACCCCCACCCCACAUUAGUCUACAGUUGGGGCAGCAGUAAUAAAUUAGGAUGCAUUCAGGUGUGAUCGCACAGCUACCCUUGAUGGUAAAGACCUACAGUGAUUUAGUGUAUCUGUGCAUUAAAUUAGAAAAUAUUUAGCAGAAACAUGUAGCAUUUGAAAAUGAGAUUGUGCACUUGGGAGGCAGAAGCAGGUGGAUAUCGGAGUUCAAGACCAACGUGGUCUACAGAGUAAGUUCCAGGAUAGCCAGGGCUAUACAGAGAAACCCUGUCUCAAGAGCUCUAAGAAAAUAAAAAAUUAAAAAGAUGAGAUUGCAUUUUGAAAUACUUUUGAAGUAUUUCCUGACCUCCAGGUAGCACUUUAAGCAUGCUAGAUAUCUAGGUUGGGAGGCACUGAAGCACACCCCACAGCUAUGUUGGCCUGUAAUGGAAAGUCCACUUGUAAAAGUUGAUAGUCCCUGCUCCACAGACGCUGUCGUUUCUUAAGCCAAUCUUUACAAUCCCCAAAUGUUUGGGGCAGUGAAAAGCAGUAAAUAUAGUUUGUUAAGUAAAAACAGACUGUUUUUUUUUAAAUGGUAUUCUUUUACAUGGCAAAUAAAAAAAAAACCUUGCAAGCUGUGUCUGUCACACGAAGACACCAGAUACCACAGAGAAGCACUUAAAUCACCACCAAAGAAAUGGAGAGAAUAAAUCAAAUGUUUGAAAAAAAUGGAGAACAGCCUUGGGAAAUGGCUCAGUAUGUAAAGAAUUGACCACACAACUCUGAGGGCCCGAGUCAGGACCCUCAGAACACAUAUAAAUCUGGGCAGGCAUAACAGCCUCCUGCCAUCCCUUGUCUCAGAAUGUGAAGACAAGUGACACUCUGCCCCCACCCCCUGCAACAGGGCAAGCUGGCUAGCUGAAUUAGCUCUGGCUUCAAAUGGAAGGCCCUGCUCCCAUAUAUAAAGUGGAGAGAUAUUAAGGAAGAUAUUUGACAAUAACUUUAGGCCUCCACAGGUAUGUGCACCCAUGUACAUACACACACAAAGACACACAUGCAAAAUAAAGUGGACUAGAAUCUUAGUUCUUAGCACCUUACUAGAGUUCUUACAGUGUGGAACUCUUGUCUUAUAGAAUGAAUGUGGUAACAUUCCUAUUUACAGGAGAUGGGUGGCCUCUCAGAGGGGCUCAAGUUUACCUUCAAGAGAAGGCCAGUUAGACUUUGAAGUUAGUCACUAUUCAGUUUAAUCCUUGACAGAUAGUCUUCUUCUCAAUAUGAAUUAAUGAUUUUAGACACAAUAUAUAUAUAUAUUGAAGCAGCAAUCUAUUCAUUAUGCCAACUUUAUAGCUACUUCUGAAGACCUCAUUUUGUGCUUGCCUCUCAGAGAGAGAUAUGCCUACUACCUACCUACUGCCUUCAGUAACAGCAGAGCUCCAUGGGGCUGUCCUUCAUUACAUUACUCAAUCCUGACCUUCAUUGUGGUAUUCAUAUAAAGAAAUUUAGUCUGCAUACACGAGGUUUUGUGUUCCAACUUGCUUAAUCCUGAGUGUCCAGGUCCCUCAUAGAGUCCAGAGGUCUCCAAAGGACUCUGAACAUUGCCAAAGGCUUCGGUGAGGGAGUCUAACAGGUCAGGAAGUCACUGCUAAAUCAAGGCUUCUAGAGAAACGGCUUGCAGGGUGCAGCUUCAGUCAGAUUAUUUGCUGCUAGACACUGAGGCUCACAGCUUAGUGUGACUUAGUUCCAACUGUCCAGACUCCAUGUCUGGUAGACAUAAUGUUCAGUUUUGUCAUGUGUAUUUGAAAGGUCACCAUGUGAGGGUGAAUGAAAGCCAUCAUUGUGAUUUGGAAAUCAGCUCUCAGAAGCAGUUGAGUGACCGCCCUUGGACUUUCUGCAUGUCACAGUGCAUUUUAGGAUCUGUCAUAGGCUUGUGAAAGUAGCUUUUUGGGAAACUGGGCAGAUAAGAGGGGUGGCUCACAGGAGCACAAAUGCAGACCCACAACCCAUAUCAGAGUUGAAACUGCUAGAUCCUCACUGCCAACUUCCCAGCUGGCUGGCUUAAAGAUGACAACAGCUCAGGGCACCUUUGAGCAUAAGUGAAGAAAAUUAAAUCCCCAUUUCCCUGAAAGACUAAAUUCUCAGGUGGUUGCCUGACAGGGGGAAGGGGGAGAUUUUUAAAUCAUGGCCUUUGUUGAUGUUCUCUGACUUUUUCUUGGGAGGCUGCUUCAAGCAAUAACGUGAGUUAUGAGGUAAUCCUGUCAAGUGGUAUGCUGGGCUUUUAAGUCUUGUGCAGGUUGCCUGCUUACCCACACAGUUCACAUAGGGGCUGAAAAGCUUAGCUUAUCAGGGAUGGAACUAGGUUUUACAGAUUUCCUUUAACCAAAUAGGCUUGCUACUUUUUCCUUUCUUCCUGCAUCUGCCAAGUCAUUCUGACCAUUUCCAUUGAUCUCACCAGAUGAGUAACACUUUAAAUUCCAAAGGCUUAAACAGCAAUGUAGAAAUCAACUCCUUAUCAUUCUUUUCCAAUUUAAUUCUUCACUCUUUGUCCUAUUUUCAUCUUCUUGCAUUAGUUCCCAUGACAAUGUGUCUGCUGGCAGAGAAAAUUUAACUCUUUUAGUGUUGAUUACAAUGUAAAAUCCUUUUUAGGCAAGUGCCACAAAAACAGGCAGAGACUGGAAUUCUCUUGCUAAUAUGUUUUCUUAUCUCUUAUAUUGAUUUCCCUUCCUAUCCCCAAGCAAAGCUCUCACAGAAAAACAUGUAGAGGUCUUUGAGGCAGCUACAGCUUCAAGGAUUUAACCUUUGACUUCUCACGGCUUUCCCGUUCCAAGUGUCAAAAACAUGAAUGCAUCUAUCAGGGAUGUACAGAAGACAACUUUCAAUUUUUAUCAGAAAUGCCCAGUGUAUCUAAGGAAAUACACAUGUCCUAAAAUGAGCCUCAAGUCAGGGUCUAAUGGCAAGAUGAGAGGCACUUAAGCAGAUUUCCUCCCAGUAAGUAAAUGGCAAAGAGGUCAAGCAAGCUCUAAGCUCUUGAAAGAAGCAGCCAAGACUCAGGUGAAAAGCAGAUGUCGUGGCUACCUGUAUGGGUGAGGGGGCACUUCAGGCAGUUUGUGAUCAAGUAUGAAAAAGCAAGCAACUGCAUCAGGCUUGAUGAUGUAUGCCUAUGAUUCCAGUAACAGAAGGUCAAAGGCAGGAGGAUUACAAGUUUGAGGCCAGUCUGGGCUACAUGGGAAGAUCUUACAAGGAUGCAAGGUGCUAGGUUCAAUUCCUAGGACCUAAAAGGCCUACUAAAGCCUUUAGAAAUGCUUUAGAAAUGGAAUGUAGGGAUAAAGGGAAAAGGACUAUGCAGAAAGCCCAAGCCCAAGAUGAAAUGUUUGUUUCAAACUUUAGGUUCCAUCAUAGCUUGACAUUGGCAGCUCCUUCUACUGCUUCAGUAUCCAGAAGCAACAGGUCUACUGUCAGAAAUUGAACAGGACUUACCCAAAUAUGUGUAGGAUUUUUUUUUUUUUUUAAAGAAAAACUGAUGAAUUCAGGGGAAUGAAAUAGAUAAUAAAAUGUGGUUAUCUUAAGUAUAGUUAGGAAAAAACGAUCAAAUGUAAAUGAUCUUGCUUAGUCUAACGAGACACUUAAGCACUAAGCUGCUUGUAUUGUAUAAAUGUAUUUUUGGCUGUUCAAAGGUUAUUUUCCUAUAUUAAGAAGUUUAUUAAAACCUUUUAUUGCAACUCAGGUUUUGUGUCUUUUAGACACAUUUUUCUUUGCUAGUUUGUUUUGCACAGCUGGAGUUUUGAGGUUGAAUAAUGCCUGGGCAUGGCAGUCAGCUAAACUGCCUGAUAGCUAGACUAAGGAAGGUACUUGACACACGGACAAACCACAUUGUUUCAUAGCUCUCCAUGCCUCUACUAAAUACAGUUAGCCGGGAAAUCUCAGAUGAUUUUGUUUUUGAAAAGUCUCUGGAAAAACCAAGACGAAUCUCUCAGGCAGAUAAAGAACUUCCCGUAUUUGCCGAAACGUACUAUUGAAAUAAAUAUUAUUUUCGAUACUUGUUUUUCCACUCAGAGGGCACGCACUGGUCUCAGACCAGGGAGAGGACAUUUGGCUUAGAUCAGAACUGCUGAGUGCUGUGUAACUCAGGAAGUUUUGUUUUGAUGUCAGUGUCAACAGACUGCAAGGAAUGGUCCAUAUUCCUGCUCCAACAAUUAGAUAUUUCCUUUGCUUCCCUCCUCUGAAAAGCAAGCCUUACUGUGAUAUGUUUGGAAUAAAGACAAAGGUAAUUGACAGGCAAACUGCACUUUUGUUGGAAGAGCCAGUUAAGUUCUCUUUGUAUUCAGCGAAUGUGAGGGACUGAAGGCAGAUUGAGAAUGUAAAACUGUUUAUACAUGAAGGAAGGGACACUGUCCAGGGCUGGCAGGAAGCCAGAGGUAGAUCUAUUGAACUUCAAAAGGUAAGGUUAUUGCAAGGUCACUACAGGUUAUAGCAAAAAGCAGAAUUUUCUUUCCUACUUACAGCUAUGAAAGGGCACCUCACUGUCGGCUAUGUAUGAGAAACUCAUACUGCAGUUUCAUUCUUUUCAGGAAAGAAAUAUUAAGCAUCAGAAAAGUAAUUCUGAUGGAAGGCAAUGGUGGGGUUCCAAGAGGUUUGUAAAGAAUUAUACAAACACACUACAGACUUUUUUAAACAUUCAUGAAAUUUAUUUUUCACUUUCAAAACUAUCAGAUUGAUGAUUUUUUUGCCCUCAAUAAUUUAUGAGAUGUAUUUUAUUAUUCUGUAAAUGUUUUAUGUGUCAAACACAUAAAAAUUUUAUUUGCCAGUUAAUGAAAUAUUCACUCUCAUAAAAAGUCUUAAGAGAAAUUCCUAACUGGUGACGCAGCUUUGGGUCUCUUGACCAUACUCUCUGAUGGGAUCUGCCUUCAUGACCAUAAGUGCAGUACCCAGGUAACCGCAGUAAUCUUCCCUCAGAACCAGAACUGGGACCUAGUUCCUAAAUUUCCGAUCUAGCUGAUGACAGGUGGCAGGUGAGUGUUCCUUCUGUCCAUCCUUUGCUGUCUAUGUGGACAUUCUGAUGUGCGUCAGUGAGCUGAAUUCUACACGCUGUAUAUAUUGCAUGCAUUUCACUGCAGUCUAUGGACAUGCCCUUUGUAGAGCUUUUAUGGAAGAACCAAGAAGCCAAGGCAGUUUAGCAAACGAGGCUCAAUAUUUAUAAACCGGGGCCUUUUCUGUCUCUUUGCUAGCCUAGGUGGCUGUAUACAAACUGGGUGGGAGGGGCAGCAAACACCUCACACAUCACAUUUAGAUUUUCUACUUGGGUGUACUCUAGCCAAUUCAAAACAAAUUGCUUACUUUAAUAAUAAAGUUUACCAUUUUAUAUUAAAAAAAUCAAACCAUGACAUGUUUAAUUGAACUGGCUGUAUUGUAAUUAAUAUUUUGAGAUAAUUGUGAUUUUCAGCUUAAAAUUAUAUAUAAAAACUGUCAUUUUUGUAUGUGUUAAAAAAAAAACAAUGUACCAUGAUUAACAGUACUUUUUAGUUAAACUACAUAUUGGUGUAAAUAAAACUGAAUGAAGAAACACUUACUACUUUACUAACUUAGAUUGUGAAUGUACUUCAUGGUUUUUUGCCAUAUGAGACCAUAACAACCUUGAAAGAAAGCUGUUUAAUUUUAUGUGCAAAGUCCCACUAACCUGUAUUUCAACUUUGCCAAGCCAGUGACUUUGCAAGUGUGAUCUGUACUUUCCAGCUGUGUCUUACGUUCUGACACUAUGGGUUAAGGGUAGGGUGUAGUCUGGAAGCAUCUGCAGAUGCGCUUUGUACAGAUAAUAGCGCUGUGUGGUGUAUAGCAGAGCCAUUUUUAGGUUCUGUUGUACUCAAUUUUUUCAGAAUUUAAAAAAGUGUUUUGAAUAACAUAAAAGUCUAUUGUAUAAAUAAUAAAAUGUCACCUUAUUA
rnacentral:lncRNA from 1 species